rnacentral:pre_miRNA from 1 species
AGUGAGAUAACUGGGUCAAAUUGUUUUUGGUUCCAUUUCAUGUUUUCUAAUGAAUCUCCAUACUGUUUUCCAAAGUGGUUGCAUCAAUUUGAAGUCCCACCAGCAAU